UCGUACUCGAUAUGUCAAAAAUGACUCUCGGCAACGGAUAUCUCGGCUCUCGCAUCGAUGAAGAACGUAGCGAAAUGCGAUACUUGGUGUGAAUUGCAGAAUCCCGUGAACCAUCUAGUCUUUGAACGCAAGUUGCGCCCGAAGCCAUCCGGUUGAGGGCACG
rnacentral:rRNA from 1 species